AGGAACUGUGCCUGAAUACCCAAGGACCACUUUGAUAGAGUGGCUAAUGGGGGUGUAAAUCCCCCCAGUUCCU
rnacentral:tRNA from 1 species